AGGGGUCGGAGGACGCGGCGGCGCGCGGGGGCGGGGCGCGGCGUGCGCGUGCGCUGUGGGCCCCCACUGCGCGACCGAGAGAGAGUCGGACCGGGGAACGGCCCGCCGAUUGAACGAGAUCGCAAGCUCCUGGCGCCGCCGCUGCAGCCCCGCCGAAGCGACCGGCCUUACAUAGUGCGCAAGGCAGGGGCGGGCUCUGGGCCUGAGCCUCCAAGCCCGCCCAGGCCGCUGGUGGUGCGGCGCGGACGGGGGCGGAGCUGGGCCGCGCGUGACGGGGGUGGGCGGGCCCGGGCCGCCGCGGGCACCUGGGGCUCGGACCCGGUCUCUGCUCCCGCGUGGAGUCGGCCUCGGCGGGCCUCGGUGGGCCCAUCCUUGAAUUUACAUCCGAAGGUGAGGAAGGCCGCGAGACUCGUGACCUUGGCGGCGUUUGAGGCCGAGCUCGCUGGCCCAGCGCGGAGCCCGGGCGAGCCGGAAGCUAGGCUCAGGCACCAGUUGAAUUAAAAGAAGCACACCUCCUCCCAAGAACAGUACUCCAGAUAUGAUAUAACGCCUGGGUAGGGUUCGAAGUAGCAGCCAGGCUGUAAUGUAAGCUGGAACUUCAAUCAAGGCAGAGAAGAAACAGUUCAGGAGCUGGCACAAGGCAUGGCCAAGGACACUGUGAAUCCUCACUGACUGGCAGGAAGCAAAUCUGCUUCCACUGAAUAUCUGCUUUUCCUCGUGGCCUCCCGCCUGCAGGGGUGAAUCCUCCAGCCUGUGCUCUCAGGCCUUAAGGUUCUAGACACAACAUAGCAAGACUAAAGACAUGUACAGCUUCCCCAGCAGACUUUGGUAAGAUUCAGAGUACAGUGGGGAGCCCAUGGGUGGAAUACCCCUCAAACACAUUUUUCCCUCUUAAUCUGGACAUUCAAAAAUCACCAGUAUGUAGCUGCAUCAAUGGUGUGGAGCAAGACCAAUAAAAAGUUGGAGAUAACCUUGCAAAAGGGAAGGAAACUAAUACUUAAUCAACACUUGCUAUAUGCUAAGCAGUUUACAUAUAUUAUUGCACUUAAUUGGUCCACAGCCCUUUGAGGAGGGCUCAGAACUUCAUCAUCAUUGUGUCUCUAAGGCCUUGAACAGUGCCUGGUACAUAAUAGGCACUCAAAACCUAUUGAAUCAAAUUAAAUUCCAUAAUCAAGAAUGCAUAACUGGGGCUUCCCUGGUGGUACAGUGGUUAAGAAUCGCCUGCCGAUGCACGUGACAUGGGUUCGAGCCCUAGUCCGGGAAGAUCCCACAUGCCAU